GUAAUUAUAUAUAAAUUUUUAUUAAUAAAAAUUAUUUGAUAUUUUUAUUACAAAUUAUCCAUCUUUGAACUCCUGUAUUGUAAUGAAGUUCUUAGGACUAUAAUUGAUCGACAAAGAAAAAUUUAUCGUUUAGUCUUUAAAAGUAUUCGCGAUCAAAUGAUAUGCUAUUAAUAGGAUGAUAGCAAUAUUGAGUAUAAGUCAUUAUGUGC
rnacentral:lncRNA from 1 species